UGCAGCUUUCUCGUCUCCACUCAUCCACCCAAGCUCCAGUGACGGCGAGGGUCCUGCUGCGCCGCUCCUCCUCCCGUCGCCUCCUGCCUUCGCCGCAGGAGGCCAUCACUCCCGGCCCGGAGCGAAGGCCCUCCCUCAUACCUACAAUCCCAGAGGCCAAGGUGCCCGAGAGGAGAGGCCAGUUCAGAAGACGCAACGUCAUGUCGCUGAGCGAUGCAGACAGUGUGUGUCUGAUCUGUCAUAACGACUUAAAUCAAGGAACCGGUGGCACCAGAGAGCUGCAGUGCACACACACCUUCCACAAAGAGUGUAUAGAAGAGUGGUUGUGGAGAAAACAGUGCUGUCCUACGUGUCAUGUUCAGGUCUCCAUGCCACAGCCCGUCUACUGGAGCUCCACCCGAGUCAAAGUCCCCUAAGACCACCAGGAAGGGAGAAUAACAUCACUAAACUCCCAUAAAACAUCCUGCAGUGGACUGUGGCAUUAUCAAAGUCCUCUAAGACUUAAACCACUGCACCAUGACCUCAGUGUAGUCAAAAACUUCUAGCAGUGGAUUCUGACAUCCAUGCAGUCUCCUAAAAUGUCAUCUAAUGGAUUGUGAUACAACCAAAGACCCAAAGUUUCUUAAACCCAAAAGCACUGGACUGUGACAUUAUUAAACUCCCAUAAAACCUCCAUUGGUGGACUGUGACCUCAUUGUACUCUAAAACGUUCAGCAGUGGACUAUGACACCAUUAAAUCCCCUAAGAUGCCAGCAGCAAGAGGAUAUCAAGGUCCCUGAAAACCUCAUGUAGUGGACUACGAUAUCAUCAUAGUUACCUAAAACACCAUUCGGAGAAGACAGUGUCAUCAUCAAAAUACACUGAAACAUUCAGAUACAUCAUAAGAAGUGGAACCACUGGGAGUGGAUACAAAUGAAAGUAUAUUAUUCGGUAGAAUAACAAGGGACUUGUUCAGCAUAUUGAAGCAACACAAGCAAUAAGCAGCCAAUUUUCUCUGAAUGCAUCUGAGCCAAUGGAUCUUAACUCUGGAUAGUAUGGGACAUAUAACCCAUACAUGCACUGGAUAGCAGUAGAGAACUACAUAAACGGCCAAUUGUUAAGCUAACGUACAACCGCAGUAACCUCCGCUGUGAGUAUGUGUGUGUGACAUGACGAGUGUAUUGGUUAGUAUUGUUUUACUAAACUGAAACUGGUUAUGAAUUUA